rnacentral:lncRNA from 1 species
AUACACUUAAGUGAGUUGCAUUCUGAUAAAAUAAAAAAUUUAGCUCUUAAAGCCCUAAAUUCUACUCCCUAUACCAAAGUCUCAAAUUAUAAGUAGGUUGACUCAAGAUUGGGGAUGAAUGUGUUUUGGUACAGGUUGAUUUCUAAAUUAAAGACGGUUCCUUUACUUAGAAUUCUCUCUUUCAGAAUUUGUCAUGCUGAAUCCUUCUAGAUUUUAUGAUGCUUACUCAAAUUUUAAAUGAAAACCUUUUUUUUUCUAGUGAAGCUCACUAUAUGUGAUUGACAUGUUGGUGGGAGGCACAGGGCCUCCGCAAAAACAUUUGAAAAUGAAACACUCCUAGUGCAUAAUCCCUUCCUCAGCUAUGAAGGUUUUCAAAUAAGUGAAAAAGAGAAAAAUGCACGUGAGAUUUUUGCCUACAAGAAGAGGGUAUGUGCAUAUGAAUCUCACUGUGAAGUGCUGACAUUUGACACCGUUUUGAACCCUGAAUGCAGCUGGUCAUGGGCCUCUGAAUUCUCUCUCACCUUGUUCCUUGUGGCCUCUCACUUAUCCCUCUGGCCAAGUGCCCUGUGCCUUUCCAGAUUCUUGUUCUGCAGAGGCUGAAAGCAGGGCAGAGGCUAUGCCCGCAAUGUUAAAGCAGGGUUCAGCAACAGUUAUCACCGGUUAUCAUUCCAAAGAGACCUCAACCUGAGCUAGUGGAAAUUAUCUGUUGGGGUACAACAGCUUUGGUGGGUUUGUAAAUAGCCAUAAUUGAAUAAGUACCAGACACAGUGCUUUGGGAGAGCUCCUUUCCUGAAGGAGCUGCUCUAGAUAUGUUGUUGGGACUUCUGUGGUGCGGUCGCCAUGGAAGCAUUAGGGUGUGGUGAGAGAUUAGGCGGCUGCAAAAUCAUUGUGCCUUGCCAGAUAGAAUUAUCCUUUGAUGUAUACUGGGGUCUAAAUUGUUUUCUUUCCUUUGAUACAUUUAAAAUUAAGAUUCCGUGUUAAUCCCUAAUUAAUUCCAAGAUCAAGCUUCUAUUUUAGCUACUUCAAUGAGUGAUGUUGGAAUGCUUUUAGGGAAGUGAAGCCAUAAUAAAAUAAUUUCCAAUUACCUUAAAUACCUUGUGGGCAUGGUUAUUAGGCAUGGCUGUAUUAAGUAUGGGAUUUUUACAUCAGAAUGGCAUGAUUUUAAAUCAGAAGUCAUUUAAAGUCAUAAGUGGAG